AGUAGCUGAGUGGAUAACGCGAUGGCGUUUGAAGCGAUAGGUGCUGGGUUCGAGCCCCAGAAUGAAC
rnacentral:tRNA from 11 species